GGGGACCUUCGGGGCCCUUCAUCACUCGCGGCCCCACAAUCGAGGGUCGCCACAGAAACGGAAGACAGAAA
rfam:Palleronia marisminoris strain CECT 7066 genome assembly, contig: 0002